AAGUCGUAACAAGGUAUCCGUAGGUGAACCUGCGGAUGGAUCAUUAACAAAGAUCUACCUCUACGUACUGUGAACUGUAACUUUUACCUUUGGCGCCGUGUUUCCCUAAGCUCUUUGAGUUAAGGGCCAUGGUGCCAACGGACAUACACGUAUACCCUUAGACUAAAGUAGACCUAGAGAACUAAAACAACUUUUAGCAAUGGAUCUCUUGGCUCUC
rnacentral:misc_RNA from 1 species